rnacentral:tRNA from 1 species
GGGGUUGGGGCUCAGUGGUAGAGCGCUUGCCUAGUAUGUGUGAGACCCUGGGUUCAAUCCUCAGCACCA